GCCCCCAUAGUUCAACGGAUAGAACAGGCCCGUCCUAAGGGCAAGAUGUGUGUUCAAUUCAUGCUGGGGGCA
rnacentral:tRNA from 2 species